GAAACGCGAUAAGUAAUGUGAAUUGCAGAAUUCAGUGAAUCAUCGAAUCUUUGAACGCACAUUGCGCCCGCUAGCACUCUGGCGGGCAUGCCUGUUCGAGCGUCAUUUCAACCCUCAGAACCCCUUGCGGGAUCUGGCGUUGGGGAUUGGCAUCCAGCCAGCCCCGAAAUCUAGUGGCGGUCCCUCCGCGACCUCCCCUGUGCAGUAGCGAUACCUCGCAGCGGGACAGCGGUCUGACCACGCCGUAAAACCCCCAACUUCUCAAGGUUGACCUCGAAUCAGGUAGGAAUACCCGCUGAACUUAAGC
rnacentral:misc_RNA from 1 species